rnacentral:rRNA from 1 species
AUACGGAGGAUGCAAGCGUUAUCCGGAUUUAUUGGGUUUAAAGGGUGCGUAGGCGGUUUGCUAAGCGGGAGGUGAAAUGCCGGCGCUCAACGUCGGAAGUGCCUCCCGAACUGGUGGACUGGAAUGACUCUGCCGUGGGAGGAAUGUGUAGUGUAGCGGUGAAAUGCUUAGAGAUUACACAGAACACCGAUUACGAAGGCAUCUCACGAAGGGUUGAUUGACGCUGAGGCACGAAAGCGUGGGGAUCAAACAGGAUUAGAUACCCUGGUAGUCCACGCAGUAAACGAUGAUGGCUAACCGCUGGUUUAUUCGGAUCAGUGGCCAAGCGAAAGCGAUAAGCCAUCCACCUGGGGAGUACGACCGCAAGGUUGAAACUCAAAGGAAUUGACGGGG